CAGCAGCCACGGUAAUACGAAGGGGGCUAGCGUUGUUCGGAAUCACUGGGCGUAAAGCGCACGUAGGCGGACACUUAAGUCAGAGGUGAAAUCCCAAGGCUCAACCUUGGAACUGCCUUUGAUACUGGGUGUCUUGAGGUCGAGAGAGGUGAGUGGAACUGCGAGUGUAGAGGUGAAAUUCGUAGAUAUUCGGAAGGACACCAGUGGCGAAGGCGACAUACUGGAUCAUUACUGACGCUGAGGCUCGAAAGCGUGGGGAGCAAACAGGAUUAGAGACCCCCGUAGUCCCUGUCUCUUAUAC
rnacentral:rRNA from 1 species